UAAUCUGUUUAGGGCAAAUCUCAUCUAGUUGUGGUAGAUUCAUACCUAACUGCUGAGAAUCACCCGUUAUCACAAGCCCGACUAUAUUAUUGAUACUGAAAAACAGAGGACAAUUAAUCUGUGAACAAUAAC
rnacentral:pre_miRNA from 13 species